GUGCUCACUUCGGCAGCACAUAUACUGAAAUUGAAACAAUAUACAAAAGAUUAGCAUGGCCCCUGCACAAGAAUGGUGCACAAAUUUGUGACGUGUUCCAUUAUUUU